GUCGGCUUUCAGCGACUUCUCCCACCAGCCGCUGGCGCUCGGGGCGUGUGUGCCGCCUACGCUUUCUGGUGCAGUAAUGUAAAUAAGAUGUAAAUCCCAAAGAGCAAGAUGGCAAAAUAGAGAGGUUGGGUUCCUGGCUGCUCCAUGGGGUGAAACCAAGAAAGCAGACAAGCAGCUUCUCCAUAAGGACUGGAUGAGACACGGGCCAGUCAGAGGAGUGGAGCUCUUACGUGUGUACGGUCCGUAUAUCAAACAAACUGGCCCUUCCUCACUUGACGUUGCUGGGAAAAUGAAGGCCCGAGGAGAGCUGGAGAUUGAGACAAGCCAGGCUUCGUGAGGACGGGUGUGGUGACAGUCAGAGCUCGCAGUGACUCUGAAACCAAACACACCCCUCUGGAGAAGUGGCACCACAGACGGGAGCUGUCCUUGGAGAACCCUCGCCUCUGCGCCAUUGCUGCCGCCAUUGCUGCUCUGGAUCCCGGGCUGCUGAGGAAGCGGAGCCGGCGGGCAUUGGAGGAGAAUGUGGACAACCCAAAGCCCUCCGGGUGCUUUUCUCUGAGUUUGUCCCUGUACCUGAAUCCUGAGACCUUUAUUGAGUAACGACCACAGCUUUGCUGCUGCUGCUGAAUUUGGUACAAAUUCCUCUUGGUCAAAUCUAACUCGGAGCCAUACAUGGAAGGGUAUUCCGAAAGGCAGGUCCAAGCUUAACUGCAGUGACAGCGUGAUCCAGCCAAAGAGCAUUCCGUGUCAGCAUGUGAGGGGGUUUCCUUUUUUUCCUAACCUUUUAUUGUGGUAAAAUAACACAAAAACAAAAUUUCCCUUCUCGCCCCUUCCCGAGUGUACAAUUCAACAGUGUUCCAUGCGUUCAUGAUGUGCGACAUCAUCAGGAUCCACCUCCAGGACGCCUUACUAUAAACUGAAACUCUGCACCCAUGAAAUCGUGAUUCCCGUUCCCCUUCUCCCUGGUCCCUGAUAACCUUUAACCUCUCUGUGUAAUUGGAUCACUCCAAGUACUUCGGAGCCAGACCCUUGAAGACUCUCACUGAGUUCAAACCUGCUUAGGGAUCAAACAUAAAGUAUCUGUCCUGGUGUCUGAGCACCAAUCAGCUAAAGCAGCUGGUACUUAAGAAUUUCUCAGUGAAAGAUGAGUCCUGAGCCUCUCCAAGUUCUGCUAGAGAAGGUGACAGACACUUGCGACCCUGGUCUUUCGGAAGCAUGGGAUCACAGAGAGCUAAUGCCACCUCGUCAGCGCUGGAUUUUUCCACCUAGCUCGGAACCUUCAGCCUCCUUGGGAACUGCAUCUCCAUGUCUGCCCUGAAGAGCCUGCUGCUUCCUGCCGCCAGGCUGAUCCUGUGAAGAAGGGCUGUACCCCGCCGCUCUGGAGGGCUGUUAACAUCUGCCCAGUUUACCAGGGUGAAGUCAACCCUGAGAAACUUGCCCAGGUUCAGUUGGAGUUGAUGCAGUUUCUGAGGGACAUCAGGCUGGCCCUGCCAUCUGUCCACGUUCAUACCUACUGCUGUGUUCUCUGUGUAAGAGUAAAGAGUCUAUUGCCUGGAGCCCAGUGGCUGUUGGGUGUCAGGAUAUGCUCAUCGCAUUCGAUGUUUCUCUGGGCUGGGAAUGUGGUUCAGUGGGAGAGUGCUUGCCUGGCAGGCAUGAGGCCCUGAAUUCGAUCCCCAGAACUACCAAAAAUAAAUAAAGCUUCUCUUGUAAGCGUCUCUUAUUAGGUGUGUAUGAGAGGACCCCAAGUUCAAGUUCAAGGCCAGUUUUGGCAACUCAGUAAGACUGUCUCAAAAAAGGGUAGGGAUGUAGCUUAGUGGUCGAGUACUCCUGGCUUCAGUCCCCAGUACCACCAAAGGAAAAAAAAAAUAGGGUUGGGAUUGGCCCCCAGGUUGGGAUGGGUAUGCGGGCCUCCAUUUUAAGUCUUUUUCAACUGCAUA